AUUGAACGCUGGCGGCAGGCCUAACACAUGCAAGUCGAACGAGCGGCGGACGGGUGAGUAAUAUAUGGGGAUGUGCCCGGUAGAGGGGGAUAACUACUGGAAAGGGUGGCUAAUACCGCAUACUAUCGGAUGAGCCGAUAUGGGAUUAGCUAGUAGGUGGGGUAAAGGCUCACCAAGGCAACGAUCACUAGCUGGUCUGAGAGGAAGAUCAGCCACACUGGGACUGAGACACGGCCCAGACUCCUACGGGAGGCAGCAGUGGGGAAUCUUGGGCAAUGGACGAAAGUCUGAUCGAGUCAUGCCGCGUGUGUGAUGAAGGCUUUCGGAUCGUAAAGCACUGUUGUCAGAGAAGCGGUAUCUGCCCAAAAAGCCACGGCUAACUACGUGCCAGCAGCCGCGGUAAUAC
rnacentral:rRNA from 1 species